rnacentral:rRNA from 1 species
CUGUAAGAAGGUAUUAUGCUAAGUGAAAUAAGUCAGUCAGAGAAGGACAGAUAGCAUAUGGUUUUUUACUCAUAUAUGGAACUUGAGAAACUUAACAGGAAACCAUGGGGGAAGGGAAGGGGGAAAAAUAGUUAUAAAAAGAGAGGGAGGGAGGCAAACCAUAAGAGACUCUUAAAUACAGAGAACUGAGGGUUGAUGGGGGUGGGGUGGGGGAUGACGGUACCGGAAGAAUAAGCACCGGCUAACUACAUGCCAGCAGCCGCGGUAAUACGUAGGGUGCAAGCGUUAAUCGGAAUUACUGGGCGUAAAGCGUGCGCAGGCGGUUUGCUAAGACCGAUGUGAAAUCCCCGGGCUCAACCUGGGAACUGCAUUGGUGACUGGCAGGCUAGAGUAU